UCUUAGUGGCGGACGGGUGAGUAACGCGUGGGUAACCUGCCCUGUACAGGGGGAUAACACUUAGAAAUAGGUGCUAAAACCGCAUAAGCGCACAGUACCGCAUGGUACAGUGUGAAAAACUCCGGUGGUACAGGAUGGACCCGCGUCUGAUUAGCUGGUUGGAGGGGUAACGGCCCACCAAGGCGACGAUCAGUAGCCGGCCUGAGAGGGUGAACGGCCACAUUGGGACUGAGACACGGCCCAAACUCCUACGGAAGGCAGCAG
rnacentral:rRNA from 1 species